CAGUCGCCGCGGGAAUACAGAGGGUGCGAGCGUUAAUCGGAUUUACUGGGCGUAAAGCGUGCGUAGGCGGCUUUUUAAGUCGGAUGUGAAAUCCCUGAGCUUAACUUAGGAAUUGCAUUCGAUACUGGGAAGCUAGAGUAUGGGAGAGGAUGGUAGAAUUCCAGGUGUAGCGGUGAAAUGCGUAGAGAUCUGGAGGAAUACCGAUGGCGAAGGCAGCCAUCUGGCCUAAUACUGACGCUGAGGUACGAAAGCAUGGGGAGCAAACAGGAUUAGAUACCCGUGUAGUCCCUGUCUCUUAUAA
rnacentral:rRNA from 1 species